rnacentral:rRNA from 1 species
CAGUAGCCGCGGUAAUACGAGGGGGGCAAGCGUUGUUCGGAUUUACUGGGCGUAAAGCGUGCGUAGGCGGCUUCUUAAGUCGGAUGUGAAAUCCCUGAGCUUAACUUAGGAAUUGCAUUCGAUACUGGGAAGCUAGAGUAUGGGAGAGGAUGGUAGAAUUCCAGGUGUAGCGGUGAAAUGCGUAGAGAUCUGGAGGAAUACCGAUGGCGAAGGCAGCCAUCUGGCCUAAUACUGACGCUGAGGUACGAAAGCAUGGGGAGCAAACAGGAUUAGAUACCCGUGUAGUCCCUGUCUCUUAUAC